ACUGACAGGACUGAUGGUAAUGAUGAUAUCUAACGUACAUGGAGCAGCUCUAUCUGCCAGACACUAAGGUGUGUAGCAGUGCAGUUCACUUGAUGAGGGCUCUUGGAGGGGACCAACUUAGACAUCUCAGCACCUUUCUGUAUCUCUGAGUUGUUCCGGUCUACCAGUUCCCACUAAGCUAUUCCUCCAAAGAUGGUCUGAAGAACCGAGAGCCCCCAGAAGAGUCAAACCCAAAUCGAAUCAGAGCAACAUCACCUUUACUUUGUAUUCUCUGUGCUAUCUUGAUGCUGACUUGCCUCUCUUUUUGUUUACCAAAUCCUAGUGGUUUUGAUGUGGAGGAGGCAGAACCUGGGGCCAGGAGACUGUCGGAGGUGGAGGAAAUUUGCAAAAUUCCUGUCUCAGUCUUUAAUUUUUCAUUCAUUUUUACAAAUUUUCUGCUAAAUAACCUCUCAUAUAUAUAUUGACCCAUUGACUAUCUCAUUGAGUAAUUUGGCCAUGUAUCCAUGACAUGCUUCAAGUAGAAUCAGAGGGAACACUAUUCUUACAAGAUGCCUUGUUUGUCUGUCUCCUUUCUGUAGGUUCUGCCAAGCUUUUCAGAGGGCAUGUCUUAGAGAAAGUGUAGGCAAGACACAAUCUUCCUUUCACAGGGGUCACCCAAGACCAUUGG
ensembl:processed_transcript BC006965 cDNA sequence BC006965